GACAGCCCUCCCCCUCGGCACCAUAUUAAUCACCAGCUCUGUUUAUUUGAAAGGCUGUUAGGAAUGAGGGAGAGGUGGAGGGAUGAAGGGAAAGAAACAGUCAUCAUCUCCCUCUCGGAGUAGCACAAAGUCCAAGGUGAGCUCCAGCCUCCUUCCUCUCCAGUCUCCUCUCCUUUCUGUGGCACAACAAGAAAAGGCUGAGAGGGCUUGGACAACUUCAGCAGUCUCAGUGAGAGGCAGGCAGGGAAGUGUAAAAGUCUCCUUUUAAGAUCAUGCACAGCUCCAGGGGAGACGUGGUACAGUAGAUCGAAAGCAGGCAGUAUCUUGGAGGGGGUGAGGCUGGAAUGAAUGAGGGCAUCUGGGGGUAGAUAGAAAAGGGGGAGGAGAGGGGUGGGGGGCU